UAAAGGUUUGGUCCCAGCCUUUCCAUUAGCUACUAGUUAACUUAUACAUGCAAGUAUCCUCGCUCCGGUGAGAAUGCCCUCUAUAUCUUUCCUAGAUCAAAAGGUGCAGGCAUCAAGCUCACUAUUACAUCGUAGCUCAUAACGCCUUGCUCAACCACACCCCCACGGGAAACAGCAGUAAUUAAAAUUAAGCAAUAAACGAAAGUUUGACUAAGUUAGACUAUAAUUAGGGUUGGUAAAUUUCGUGCCAGCCACCGCGGUCAUACGAUUAACCCAAGUUAAUGGAACACGGCGUAAAGCGUGAUUAAGAGAAACCUAAAAUAAGGCUAAAACAGUACUAAGCUGUAAAAAGCCCUAGUACUAAUUAAAAUAACAUACGAAAGUGGUCUUAAAAUUUCUGAACUCACGAUAGCUAAGAUACAAACUGGGAUUAGAUACCCCACUAUGCUUAGCCCUAAACACAAAUACUCAAUAAACAAGAGUAUUCGCCAGAGUACUACUAGCAAUAGCCUAAAACUCAAAGGACUUGGCGGUGCUUUACAUCCCUCUAGAGGAGCCUGUUCUAUAAUCGAUAAACCCCGAUAAACCUCACCACCUCUUGCAAAUAUCAGCCUAUAUACCGCCAUCUUCAGCAAACCCUAAUAAGGCAUCAUAGUAAGCACAAGAAUUGUACACUAAUACGUUAGGUCAAGGUGUAGCCUAUGAGGUGGGAAGAAAUGGGCUACAUUUUCUAUAUACUAGAACAUCUCCAACGAUAACUUUCAUGAAAUUUUGAAAGUCAAAGGCGGAUUUAGUAGUAAGCUAUGAAUAGAGAGCCUAGCUGAAUUGGGCAAUAAAGCACGCACACACCGCCCGUCACCCUCUUCAAAUAUUCACUAAUAUUUAUUUUAUAAAUCAAAAAACUAAAUAUAUAAGAAGAGAUAAGUCGUAACAAGGUAAACAUACUGGAAAGUGUGUUUGGAAUAAC
rnacentral:ncRNA from 1 species